rnacentral:rRNA from 1 species
UACGUAGGCAGCGAGCGUUGUUCGGAGUUACUGGGCGUAAAGGGUGUGUAGGCGGUUGUUUAAGUUUGGUGUGAAAUCUCCCGGCUCAACUGGGAGGGUGCGCCGAAUACUGAAUGACUCGAGUGUGGGAGAGGUGAGUGGAAUUCCUGGUGUAGCGGUGAAAUGCGUAGAUAUCAGGAGGAACACCGGUGGUGUAGACGGCUCACUGGACCAUAACUGACGCUGAGACGCGAAAGCUAGGGGAGCAAACAGG